rnacentral:rRNA from 1 species
GAUGAACGCUGGCGGCGUGCCUAAUACAUGCAAGUCGAGCGAAUGGAUUAAGAGCUUGCUCUUAUGAAGUUAGCGGCGGACGGGUGAGUAACACGUGGGUAACCUGCCCAUAAGACUGGGAUAACUCCGGGAAACCGGGGCUAAUACCGGAUAACAUUUUGAACCGCAUGGUUCGAAAUUGAAAGGCGGCUUCGGCUGUCACUUAUGGAUGGACCCGGGUCGCAUUAGCUAGUUGGUGAGGUAACGGCUCACCAAGGCAACGAUGCGUAGCCGGCCUGCGAGGGUGAUCGGCCACACUGGGACUGAGACACGGCCAAGCCGCCUACGGGAGGCAGCAGUAGGGAAUCUUCCGCAAUGGACGAAAGUCUGACGGAGCAACGCCGCGUGAGUGAUGAAGGCUUUCGGGUCGUAAAACUCUGUUGUUAGGGAAGAACAAGUGCUAGUUGAAUAAGCUGGCACCUUGACGGUACCUAACCAGAAAGCCACGGCUAACUACGUGCCAGCCGCCGCCGUAA